GAUGGAGGGAGAUCGUCUCUAAAAAUGGUCCUGCGAAAAUAAUUUCCUUUGUGAGGGGGGAUGAGGUUUCUAAAAUGGGUGCUGAGCACAAUUAGAAAGGGCAGCACGAGGGCAUGCGUGGAGAAGGAAUCUUGUGGAAAGCCACAACUGUUGUGAGUGGCUGCAAAAAAGUCAUGAAAUCCAUUUGAGUGAUACCUGCAUAUAAUUACCCCAGGGUCCUCUUAACCAUGGAAGAGGUUUAUUUAAAGAGAAUGGCAACCAAAAGAAACAAAUCAUCAUAAUUUGUUAGACCACUAAAACCAUCUCUCCCUCUCUAUCUGUUGUAACAGUGGUCCUGCAGUUUCAACGUGUAAACACUGAGGACUUCGUCCAGUUGUCGUGCAAGAGACAGCAGUUCAGUUUCAAGGUCAGACUUGGAGGGCCUACAGGUUCGAGAGGGUAGGGUCCUGAAUUCUAAACAAUUUCACUUGCCCCUUAGGAGAAACACUACGCAGUUUCUUGCCCAAGGUUACUGCUUGGAUACAGGACAUUCUAGGGAAAACAUGCUGUUCAUGAGAGCUGCGUUUCCCUGAUCAAUUUAUGUUAUAUUCACAGUAAUACAUACAGUUUUUGAAAUAGCCAAAGAUAUUCAGUUAUUCAUAUUGCUGCCACGUCUUUACCCGCCACAGUGCCUCUGCUGUUAAUCUCUGAAGCCUGGGCAAUAGGAAGAUUUUGAUGUAAACUACCUACGGUCUUAGAUCAUCAGACUUCCUCUUCACUAGGGGCAAGGACCUCCAUGAGGGAGUCUUAAAUACUUCCACCUUCAUGUGUGUAUAUCGGGAGGAGCCUCCAUGCCACGAUUUCACUGAGACUCCUGCCACUGCAGUUCUCGGACUCUGAGACUCAGAAGCAGAAAUAGAAGUGCUGGGAAGAAUUCUACUACUCUCCUUGAUGAAGUCUGGAACAAACUUUGAAAGCUUGAUUUAGAAUGGCAGAGGUUGAAGCCUGCCAAGCACGAUGGCUCCUUCCUGAGAGCUCACAGCAGGCCAGGUGCCACCCAAAGCAUUUUCUCCAUUUCAACAUGUUUAUUUCUCAUUACAGCACCACAAGGUAGGUACUAGUGUUAUCCUUCAUUUGCAGGUAAGAAACUGAAGAACAGAGAGGUUAAGUAAUUUGACCAAGGUCACACAGGAAGUAGCAGUAGAUUCAAGCCCAGGUGGACUGACCCAGAGGCCACAUGCUUGACCACUGAGCUAGACCGUACACCCUCUGACCCCUCUUGCUUCUCACCUGCUCACAAGGUGCCUAGUGGCUGCAGGGGAAAGGAAUCAGAGGCAUUCUUCUGACGCUGGCUCCUGAACAGUGGAUGAGUGAGGAGCAGUUCAGUCUGAGACAGAUUAAGCAGAGUGACUUGUUCUGGGGGAUCUGGGGCAGGGGACUGAGGUGAAUUACCUGUGGGAUGGUUGCACAGGCACCUCAAACCUACAGGUACAAAAUUAAGUAAUGUCCUCUGCCCAAGUCUGCUGUUCCUCCAGUGGUCCUUUGGGAGAAUGACAUAACCUAUACAGUUGGCUGUGCCAGAAAUCCAGACUCCUCUCUGGCGUCCCCACUCCAGCCACCCCAGGGUUCUAGAAAACACUGUCUUCAGUAUUCUUGGCUGUCUGUCCUCAUUCUCUGGGCUUACUCUAGGCUCAAAUCCCUUUUCAACUGGACUAAAAACAGUAUUUUAGGGCUAGCGGCAGGCAGGUAAAGCUGUGGGCAGUCCACAGCAUAGAAACAGGCGCAUGUGCAUCUGAAGGACAUUGAAUUUUGUCACCUUCAAGCCAGUUGCCACCAACUUUGAAACAAUUCGAGCACGUUGCCACUUCCCCUUGAAUGAAAACAUGGCACAGUUUGUAAAGACGGGCGAGUUCACUGUUCUUUUGGGGACUGUGUCAGCAUUUACAUCUUUGGGGAUGUGAUCAUCUUAAAUUUAAAUCCUAACCAUUUAAACUGGUAAGAGGUUUGUUUUUUUUUUCUUUUUUUUUUCUUUUCGCUUGUGCCUGAAUAUGAGAUCUGCCAAAAAUCUUUUUUGAAAAAAAAAAUCAGGUGAUCUUUUCUCCCCAAUUUGUAAGACUAAAUGAGGUUUAUAGAUCAUAUUUCAUAAACCUCUGGCAGAAACAUAAAUUUCUGCCUUAAGAAAUGAGCAUGUUAGUUCUAAUGUCUAAUCUUUAAGGCAGUUAAAGGACAAGUGGACCAGGGCCUGGAGUGUAACUGAGGCAUGCGGGUUCACUUUUGGGUAGGAAGGAUUUGACCUCAGCACCUCCAAAUACUGACUUGAUUUCAUCUCCAGGCUGGUUUCCUGUGAAAAGGACUUUGCUCAUCCUUGUCUCAUCGGUGACAUGAGCUUCUCGGUCCCAGCCUCCACUGGAGCAGACACAUCGAAGGAGGUACAGCCUGGCCCCAGAGCUCCACUUGCGGGCUGUGAUGGAAACUAAACAAGAAAGAACACCAGAAAUCAAUACAACAUUGUAAACUGACUGUACUUCAAUUAGACAAAAAAAAAAAAAAAGAACAAAAAGACCAGUCACACUGAGGUCCUCAAUACGUGUUGAAUUUGAAGUUACAAUCAUCUUUAAAAGAAAUAAAGCUGGAUCUUCUAUAUGGAGUUUAAGGUUGCGAUUAUGAAGGGAAACUUGCUUCGCCUAAUGGGAUUUCUGGACUAGAAUUUGCACUCCUCAUUGAGAGGCACUGUGUGGAUAUUCUCCUGGCCAAUGAGGUGAUACUUUGCAGGCUUCAUCCCAGCCCUGGGCAGAGUAAUACCAGGCCUUGGCAAAAGGGUAGGUGUGUCCCACUUCAGAAAAACGGGACUCUGAUUUACCUCCUUGCCUUAUGCAUUUUAUGAGCAAUGUAUGUAGUUAACUGUUAUCAGGUGGUUAAGCAAUUUGAUGAGGUGUGAACUAGCCCUUUAGUUGUUUUAUUUACAACAUACUUACCCGUCCCUAACAUCCCAUUGGGGAAUUCUCUACUUAGUCGAUUAAUUUAAGUGAGGUUACUGAAACACAGUUAUGGUAAAACCAGAAGCUGAAAAAUGCCCAUUGGAGU